UACGUAGGUGGCAAGCGUUUGUCCGGAUUUAUUGGGCGUAAAGAGCUCGUAGGUGGCUGAGUAAGUCGGAUGUUAAAUCCCCAGGCUCAACCUGGGACACCACCCGAUACUGCUCUGGCUAGAGUCCGGUAGGGGAGCGUGGAAUUCCUGGUGUAGCGGUGAAAUGCGCAGAUAUCAGGAGGAACACCGGUGGCGAAGGCGGCCCCCUGGUUGGAUACUGACGCUGAGACGCGAAAGCGUGGGGAGCAAACAGG
rnacentral:rRNA from 1 species